GCCCUUGUAGCUUAAUGGUAAAGCGCUCGCACUUCAAAAAGCUUUGACCGCGAGUGAAUCGAGGUUCAAGUCCUCGUGUUGUUU